rnacentral:rRNA from 1 species
UAGAAGCAGCCAUCAUUUAAAGAAAGCGUAAUAGCUCACUGGUCGAGUCGGCCUGCGCGGAAGAUGUAACGGGGCUAAACCAUGCACCGAAGCUGCGGCAGCGACGCUUAUGCGUUGUUGGGUAGGGGAGCGUUCUGUAAGCCUGUGAAGGUGUGCUGUGAGGUAUGCUGGAGGUAUCAGAAGUGCGAAUGCUGACAUAAGUAACGAUAAAGCGGGUGAAAAGCCCGCUCGCCGGAAGACCAAGGGUUCCUGUCCAACGUUAAUCGGGGCAGGGUGAGUCGACCCCUAAGGCGAGGCCGAAAGGCGUAGUCGAUGGGAAACAGGUUAAUAUUCCUGUACUUGGUGUUACUGCGAAGGGGGGACGGAGAAGGCUAUGUUGGCCGGGCGACGGUUGUCCCGGUUUAAGCGUGUAGGCUGGUUUUCCAGGCAAAUCCGGAAAAUCAAGGCCGAGGCGUGAUGACGAGGCACUACGGUGCUGAAGCAACAAAUGCCCUGCUUCCAGGAAAAGCCUCUAAGCAUCAGGUAACAUCAAAUCGUACCCCAAACCGACACAGGUGGUCAGGUAGAGAAUACCAAGGCGCUUGAGAGAACUCGGGUGAAGGAACUAGGCAAAAUGGUGCCGUAACUUCGGGAGAAGGCACGCUGAUACGUAGGUGAAGCGACUUGCUCGUGGAGCUGAAAUCAGUCGAAGAUACCAGCUGGCUGCAACUGUUUAUUAAAAACACAGCACUGUGCAAACACGAAAGUGGACGUAUACGGUGUGACGCCUGCCCGGUGCCGGAAGGUUAAUUGAUGGGGUUAGCGCAAGCGAAGCUCUUGAUCGAAGCCCCGGUAAACGGCGGCCGUAACUAUAACGGUCCUAAGGUAGCGAAAUUCCUUGUCGGGUAAGUUCCGACCUGCACGAAUGGCGUAAUGAUGGCCAGGCUGUCUCCACCCGAGACUCAGUGAAAUUGAACUCGCUGUGAAGAUGCAGUGUACCCGCGGCAAGACGGAAAGACCCCGUGAACCUUUACUAUAGCUUGACACUGAACAUUGAGCCUUGAUGUGUAGGAUAGGUGGGAGGCUUUGAAGUGUGGACGCCAGUCUGCAUGGAGCCGACCUUGAAAUACCACCCUUUAAUGUUUGAUGUUCUAACGUGGACCCGUGAUCCGGGUUGCGGACAGUGUCUGGUGGGUAGUUUGACUGGGGCGGUCUCCUCCUAAAGAGUAACGGAGGAGCACGAAGGUUGGCUAAUCCUGGUCGGACAUCAGGAGGUUAGUGCAAUGGCAUAAGCCAGCUUGACUGCGAGCGUGACGGCGCGAGCAGGUGCGAAAGCAGGUCAUAGUGAUCCGGUGGUUCUGAAUGGAAGGGCCAUCGCUCAACGGAUAAAAGGUACUCCGGGGAUAACAGGCUGAUACCGCCCAAGAGUUCAUAUCGACGGCGGUGUUUGGCACCUCGAUGUCGGCUCAUCACAUCCUGGGGCUGAAGUAGGUCCCAAGGGUAUGGCUGUUCGCCAUUUAAAGUGGUACGCGAGCUGGGUUUAGAACGUCGUGAGACAGUUCGGUCCCUAUCUGCCGUGGGCGCUGGAGAACUGAGGGGGGCUGCUCCUAGUACGAGAGGACCGGAGUGGACGCAUCACUGGUGUUCGGGUUGUCAUGCCAAUGGCACUGCCCGGUAGCUAAAUGCGGAAGAGAUAAGUGCUGAAAGCAUCUAAGCACGAAACUUGCCCCGAGAUGAGUUCUCCCUGACCCUUUAAGGGUCCUGAAGGAACGUUGAAGACGACGACGUUGAUAGGCCGGGUGUGUAAGCGCAGCGAUGCGUUGAGCUAACCGGUACUAAUGAACCGUGAGGCUUAACCUUACAACGCCGAAG